rnacentral:lncRNA from 1 species
GAGGGCUGCAGGCUGGAGGUCUGAGAGCUCCCUGACCACCCUCACUGCUCCUGGCGGCUGCUCCCACCUGGGCCCCAGGCCCCGCUUCAGAGCCCUGAGGCUUCCUCAGCCAGGCCCCAAAGACUCCAGUGUUUACAAGACCAGAAAUGCCACGGCCACGUCCCGGCAGAAAGAAAGGCUGAAAUGGAGGACCGACGCCUUCCUUAUAAGGUACGAUGCUAACUUGACCUUCACUUUGUCAUGGCGCCCCCCGCCCACCCAGACCGCUGCAGGCAGCCAGGCAGAGCCCAGGCGACCCUGGCCUCUGCCUCCCGGCUUCCUCUCUUUGUCAAACUGCUCUCUUCUUUCCUUUUUUUUUUUUUUUUUCCAUUCCUCCUUUUCCUUUCUGCCCCUUUCUUUCCUUUUCCUACCUUUUAAACUUCUUUCUUUUUUUCCCCUGCUGUUCUUUCUGCCCCUUUCCUUGCACUCAUUCCUUUGAUUUCUGCCUGCUCAGGGUUUGCCUUGAUUCUCUCUUGCUGGACUCUCUAUCACAAUCUCUUUUUUUUCUCUCUCCUACAGUGUCCCGAUCUUUUGAAUCCUGGAAACAAGAACAAAUAUUUUCAAUACUCUCCCAUCCCCAUCCCAACUGACCUCCACAGCCCUAGCCUGGCUUCUACCCCUAUGCAGGUAUCCCUGGGGAAGAGGGUCCCAGAAAGAAGGCCAAUUUGGGGUCAAAGGGGGCUUCAUUCUGGGCCCAGGGCCCACUUGAAUGGCAGUGAACUUGUUCUGGGUGAGACCCUGUCUUCCUCUCACUGGCCUCACCUGCCAAGUCUCUAGUGGUUUUGAACUGAGAGUGAAAGCCUUGGCUGUUGGGUGCCUGGGAAGAGCAGAAACCACUGUUUUUGAGACUAAGAGGAAGGCUUAAGUACCGAAAAGUUGUUUGCCCGUCUCCGAACUGUCAGCCCCUAAAAUCCUAGACAUUUCACUUAAGACAUCUGGAGAGGGAAUUUAGAGAAGUGGGGAUUUCUGAAGAGUUCCCUCCCACACACACACACACAAAUAGGAAAGAAAUAGAUUAUCCAGGCCUCUCUACCUUGCCUCUUGCUGCCUCCCAGGCUUCAACAAAGCCUCCGACAUUAAUCCUAAUCAUAUCUUGUGUGGCUAUAAAAUAAAGGAUAUUAUGGACACCCCUAUAAUUAUCUAUUAUUCGCUUACUUGUGAUAAUUACAAUACUGGGUGAGGCAGGUCUAUGCAGACAAAGGAGAGCCAAGCAAAUAUCUGGAAAAUGAAACUGAAUCUCCAUCCCUUCUUGAGUAUGUUCCAGAAGCUGUUAGCGCUUCCUUCUUGGUUUAGGUAUAGCGUCUUGGAGGGGAUAGGGUGAUAAUGAGAGACCCUACCACCUC